ensembl:miRNA
AUCUGACUCAAAAUAUGAACCAAGCAAUUCUCAAAGGGGCCUCCCAGGAAAUUCACUUUAGGAAGUCCUACGAGGCUCCUCUGAGAGUUGCUAAAACAAAACAUUGACAGCCC